rnacentral:rRNA from 1 species
AAUAUUGCGCAAUGGAGGGAACUCUGACGCAGCGACGCCGCGUGAGCGAUGAAGGUCUNCGGAUCNUNAAGCUCUGUCCUUGGGGNCGAAGGUCUUCGGACUUGACGGUACCUAAGGAGGAAGCCCCGGCUAACUACGUGCCAGCAGCCGCGGUAAUACGUAGGGGGCGAGCGUUGUCCGGAAUUAUUGGGCGUAAAGGGUUCGCAGGCGGCCUUUUAAGUCAGAUGUGAAAGCCCACGGCUUAACCGUGGUAAGCAUUUGAAACUGGAAGGCUUGAGUUAAGGAGAGGAAAGUGGAAUUCCUAGUGUAGCGGUGAAAUGCGUAGAUAUUAGGAGGAAUACCAGUGGCGAAGGCGACUUUCUGGACUUAUACUGACGCUGAGGAACGAAAGCGUGGGGAGCAAACA